CAGAGGGGAUGGUCAUCUCCAGCAUGGGUCUUCAGGAACAGAGAGGCACGAUGAGGGAAGAAGGAUGGAUUCUUCAUUCACUAUGGAGACUUAAUUCAACAGGUUUACUUUGGGGGAACUGGCCCUCUGUGAUCUGGGUCAAGCCAGGAUUUUAUCCCAGCCAGAGGCCACCCUACCUGGAAAG